AAAGCAUUCUUUGCCAUGAGAGAAAGGGGCAAAAACCCCCAACCACCACAUUAGAAGACACUAUUUAUAUAGUUUCUUUAUACAAAUGUUCAUAUUGAUCCAUCACAGGGUGGUAUUUUUUGGAAUAAUGUACUUUACAUAGCUUUAUCCUUACCCAUUGCCACUGUGAAAGACAAGCUAACUCCCAGACUUUGUGUUGUCAGAUUGCAGUACCUUUUUGGACACAGAGUCAAACCUUUCCUCUCCUCAGUUUUGAGAGAUAUGGCAACAUAAUUCAGACUUCAUGCCAUCUGGGUGGCCGAAGGGGAGUCUGUGAUUCAGACACAUUGCGCCUGCAGUUCCCGGUCCGACUCCAGGGUGGCGAUGCUGCCUCAGCUCUUACUCCGGCUAAUAACGCUCACUGUGCACUCUGCGAAGGGAUUUUUUUAUUAGCACCACUGAGUGUUCUGAAAGAUGAUUGCAUAUGGCAGGAGUCAUUCUUACAACCACGGUCUGCCUGGUUUUGCUACAUCUGAAGCCGUGCGUGUAGCUGCUGCAACAUCCCUUACCUGCCCAUGGAUUGUAACCAGGGGAAGAACAGAGUGUCCUAAGAAAUUACACGUGUCUUGUUUCUUUUUAUUAUUUUUUAUUACAGAUGGUGUCAGUCAUUGGUAAGUGGUUAUGCUAAGAGGAGAUAACAUAUCCCACCCAGGACACAGGCGCUUCUAAUUCCAGCUCAGCCUUUGAUCAUGGAUAAAUUAUUCUUCUUUCACAUGCUUCAGUCUCUCUCCCCAUUCAAAUGUCUGUUUAGACUGUAAGCUUUUGGAGACAGUGGGUGUCUCAUAGCGUGCAGAUACAGAAUGUAGUACUGAAACUGUACAGCACCCAGAACAAUGGAGACCUUGAUCUUGAUGGCAGCCUUCACCCAUUAUCUUAAUAGAAGCAUCCAAGUCUAUAUUUGAAACAAUUUAUCUGAACAAUCUUUUGGCCAUAAUGACUCCAGAUCAGACACAUGAUAAAAAGUGACAGAGGAAAUUGUGUAUGUAAAGCCAUUUUAUAUCUUUGAAAUGACUGAAGAUGUAGCUAUUGCAGUCCAAGUGGAGGUUAGUGCCCUCCAAGUGGCAGCGCUGCACCUCAGACACGAAGUAUGUGCCAUUUCCAUUGCCUGCUAGAAGCUUUCUUCUGAGUAGGGAAGAGAAAUUAACUCCAAGUCUUGGAUCCCAAAGGGCAAUUUUGUAGCAAUUGUGGCUCUCUGCAGGAAGCAACUCCUUAGAGGGCUGAGUACUAUACUGGCACCAGAGAGGGAAUUCGUACCUCCAUUACGAGGGAACACUCUACCCAUCUGAAGAGGGAGCAAAAACACAGGUUUGAGGAGACUGGACCCUCCAGCCCUCCAGUCCCUUUUCCAUUUUUAAGAACAUGCCAAAAACACUACGGGAGAUAGGAAGCAUCAGUUAUUAAGGAAAACUCCCUUUUGACUAAAAACAUCUCUCAAAGGACAUUUCAAUGGGGAGAUUUUGAGCAUAAGUAGUGUGAGGACCAUUAAUACUGUUUCACCGUCACUAUGAGGGUGAACUUCCCAUCUUGUGUGGCCGAAGAGCCAGUGUGCAGAUCCACAGUGUACCUCACCUCCAAGAGUAUAUCUUCCAGCUUUGCUGGGCUGCAAGGAGCAGAUCUGUGUGCUGCCUCUACCAGAGAAGUUUAUUUCAUUGGUGUACUACUACCUCUCUUAACCAAGACAUCAUUCUGUCAUUCAAAAGGCCUGGUAGUGCUUCUUUAGGCCAGUUUGGUGCCUUAUGUGGCCCCAGCUCAAUAGACACAUAUUCACACUGUGCAGGAUCCUCCUGGCAACACUAGGCAUACCAAAGCAACAGUGAACCUCUGUUCCUCAUUAACUAGCCGCUUUCUAAUCCAAGCCUUGCUAUUUUUAUCCAGCUGAGAUUUCUUCACCCCUUUAUUAGAUAAAUAAUGUGGCAAUCUCUCAAAUGUCUGGCCAAAGGCAAAGCAGUUUGCAGUCAUUUCUGGCCCUACUGCCAGAAAUCAAAUGGCAUCUUGCUUACUAAGCUGAUCCCAGUAAUAGGUUUUCCUCUCCUAUCAUCUGGAUAUCAGGACUCUGUCAGCAUUUCCACUAAACUAGGGGUCUCUUUCCCCUUCUCUCCCAAAACAACUGCAUUAAUGACAUAGUAGAGGAGAAAUUCAGCAGCAUCCUACUAUGUCCACCAUCUUCCCAAACCCCAAAGGAGCAAGUGCCUUAUGUGCCUCAAGGGAGGUUGUAGGAACUCCAAAAAAUCACUCAGUCCUCUGAGAUUUCUGUCCUCGAUGUCCAACAAAUGGGAACAGUGUCCAGUGCCCUGUCCUCUUGUGACCUUACCCCCAGCGUGCCCUAGAGGUGAUACCUCUCAUUGAGAGCUGCGUGACUUUUCUGGCUUGGACCACCAGCAGACACAGCUGGGGCUUCCUCUGAGGUGUGUCAAAGCACACACAUCCAAAAUGUGCUAAGCCCUAUAAUAACAGGGAGAAGGUGGCCCCAAAUAUGUUGUUUGUAGCAUCAGCUAAAUGCUAAUUUGGAACUGAUUUUCCUCCCACUUUGCUGGGCUAUCUUGAGAGAAUAAAAGCCAGAAUUCCUGAGGAGCUAGAAAUUACUACCAAGUUUUCAAGGGCAAAACUCAGAAAACAUCUUAAAAAAAAAAAUCAAAAACAAAACAAAAAAACAGUCUUAAAAAUCUCUGGUUUCUGAAAAAUAAAGAACCCCUCCCCUCUGAAAACUCUGCUUCACACUGUCUUUGGUAGGAUUUCCAAAAUCACCUGUAUAUACAUAAAAGCCUUGGGCUGGGUGUCCUUUAUGCAGGGCUAAGAUGGUGGAUCAUUCUCUCAUGGCCAGUCAAAUAUGUUAAUAAAUUUAUUUCAGGCCUAGGGGCUCAGCCUGUGCAUUUUAGAGUUUGUGCUGAAAGUAGCACAAGGUGGAAACUACUCUGCUGAAAAAAGGUAGACUGACCUCCACUGAACCUCUGCUAUGCCUUGUCCCUCCUUUCAGGUGGGGGGAUUUCUAGGGAAUAGAGGGAAGCUGAGCAGUUGGACUUUCCUAUAAAAGGAGACUAUGGGGAUAGAUCAUCUGGAAGACAUGGGUAUUGAUGAUAUGUACUAGAAACUACAGAAAGGGUGGGUUGCAGCCAAACUGUAAUGCAGGUUUGGAGAUUAAGCCUCAGAAGCUCUGUGGUUUGUGCCAUUGUUUAAGGCUGGUAAAGCAGCUGCUAGAGAAAAGGGGAAACAGAUUAAUUUGCAUACUACUUAUUAUAACUGUGGAGGGGAAGGGGAGCAAAGCAAUGCAUGGUCUGCUCUCAGGGAGGGAAACAUACUUGGUUGAGUAGAGACCUAUCUUUUUUAAUUCUCCCUUGUUUCUAUCGCUUUUCUGUAACUAGGUAUGCUCUGGAUAGUGUAAAGGAAAUUUUACCACUCUGAUACUGGGAGCCUGAAGAAACCCUGAGUCCCCAGAGCCUAUAAAUGUUUCUGAGAGCUCAGGGUCUCCUGCUGUUGUAGAAAACAGUGCCCUUGUCCCUAGCCUUACAUGCAAUGAAGGCUUGUGAAAGUCUCUCUUCUGAUGAUAUGGCAGUCUGACCUCCCAUGUGGCCUUUCUCUACUUAUUGUUGGGAUAUCAUCAGGGUCUAGAAGUUUAUUAAUCACUUCUGGGGACAGAGCUGCUAUUUUAAGUGCCUUUAUUCCCUCUUCCAGAGGCACAGGAAAGCUAUGGAGCCAGACCAGAGACACUUCUCUGAGGGGAAGGAAUGGAUGUAACUGGGGUUUAACUUGAGUAGGUGUAUAAAUUACCUCAUACAGGUUCCCUUUUUAGGUCUCUGAACAUCUUAAUAGUUCAUGGGUAGGCUCUUCCCUAUGCCAGAGCAGGUCUACUGUGGGAUCUCUUUGAGCAAGCCAGGAGUAUUUCGCAGCUGAUGACCUCUCAGAUAUUGGGGUGGAGGGGCAGAGCUCCAUGAAGUGACAUCAGAGGUGCUGGAGACUGAGGCCAUCCUUGGGUGAGGUCUGUCACUGACCUGCUACCUUGGUUGGGUGAUGUCAUCCUUAGUGAAGGUUGGUGUGCUGGCAGUGCCUGCUCAGGACACUUCACUGAAGUAACCCCUUGUUCCUCACAUGUCAGAGAGUGUGGUGUUCAUCAAACAGCCAUUUGCCUGGCACCACUCUUAUCUGAGGGUCACUGUUCUCAGGUUACUGUGCUCAGCCAAAGAUUUGGCAACUCCCUGGUGUUUGGUUGUCCAGUUAUUCCUUUAAUGGGUGCAGCAGGACCACAGGCUGCAGCAGGGAUUGGUUGCAUAGGGCUAGGAGCAGUGGGGCUUAGUAGUGAAGAAGGAACAGGAAGAUGUGGAAGAGCUUGCACAGCUGAUCGAUGGCAGAGUGGAAUAAACUCCAGUUCAUGUUUUAUGUAUCAGGGGAGAAAAAAGCACAUUUUUAAAAUUCUCAUUAGACUUUUACAGGGGUAAAGGAGAGUGGGAAAUUUCUGCCCUAUUGAUGGAGAAGGUGAUAUGCUCACCUUGUUGCAUACAGAGCCAGACCAGAGACACUUCUCUGAGGGAAGGAAUGGAGGUAACUGGGGUUUAACUUGAGUAGGUGUAUAAAUUAUCUCAUACAGAUUCCCUUACUCUGUAAUUAAUUUAGGUCCUAAAGUGAUGGGAUUUAACCUUAGUGUUCUUGCUGGCUCCCCUCUGGCAUUUCUGGCAAUAUAGCCUUGGAGAACUCUCACUUGAUACCCUAAGGUUUUCUAGAUGCCACAAGAGGUGACAUCUGUUUAGGUUGCUGGCAGCAGCAGUGGGGAAGCUUUAGAGGGCACUGGAGCCACGCCAUCAGCUGCCAUACUUGCUGGUGCACAGGCAGAAGUGAAGGCAUGUUGCAUUCUGAAGCUGGGAGGUUCCUGCUAGAAGUGUGGGGAUUUGACAAUGUUUUGGCACUGGUAGAGAGGAUUAGAAAUUAGUUCCUCUAGCUCUACAGGUGCUUACACCCCAAAGGCUUUCCUUAAAGUCUGAGGCAGAAGUGGAAGUAACAAAGCUAAGCAAUGUUUUCAGGACUGUCUCAGCAGGACUGAUAUCACCCAUUUCACACAGAUGAAAGAGAUUAGAGGAAAAAGGAAAGCAAGAAUUCAGAACAUUGAGUGAAUAAAAUUUCAUUACUAAUAUCAUUAAAGCAUAGCUGAGCCAGCUCAUUUCCCUGUUUUUGAAUCACACACUAUUUGGCUUCUUUCACUUGAGCACUAAACAAAUCCAACUGCUGUAGGCAAUGUGUAGGCUCAGGAGGUCCCACAGCCUGAGGGACCUUCUUUUGCCCUCAAAAUGAGGUGCUGGGCACAAAAGCAAACAUUUCAUUAUCUGCCCAUGCAGGCAGGUGAUAGUGGGAAUUCAGCUGCUGAUUGCAAAUGUUUGCUGACCACAGCUUGCCAGCUCCAGCUGCCAGCACCCAGAAAGCUCUCAAAGCCAGAACCUCAUCAGUGAUGACAAUGGUGGGGGAGGGAAACACUGGAAAAACUCUGUUGCAUGUCUUAAUAAAUCAUAAUGUUGCUGAUAUCAGUGUGCUGGUACUGAAGGAGUUACUGGAGGCAAUAAGCUCAUCAAGCAGGAAGUUUUGCUUCAGUGGCAGGGCAUGAGCUAGCACUGUAUGCAUGCACACUUGGAGGUCAGUUGUGCAUGAAAGAUUUCAGUGAUCAGGCUGAAACUGUACCAGAAAAUCUGGAAGGAAAUUUCACCUGUCAAAGCUUUUGUUUCUUUAGUUUAAUCACCAUGGCCAUGUUUUGGACUGAUAGUUUUGAAAAUAUAAUCUAGUGGCAAGAGACUGCAUUUGAUUCUCAGCUUUGCCACGAAUGCUCUGGGCUGCCUCUUGCACGGCAGCUCUGUGCCUGUAUUUAUAGAUGGGGAUUUUGCCUCUUGGGUGAUAAACUCUCUCUGGGGAAGAGCUGCAAAACUGUGUGAUCUGCUCAAAAUUUUCAGUACCUACAUGGAAGAAGUGCUUCACAGAAGGUGAGGUUAUUGGUAGUUAUUAAAAAUAGAGGUUCAGAUAUAAUCUGGCUGUUCUUCUAUAGCAUCUUCAAAGAAUCUGCUGCUGGCUGUGCUUAGUCAGAGGAUACCUUUGGUCUGACACAGUAAAAUUAGUUUUGCUGCAAUAGGUAGUCAAACAACCUCACAUUCUUUUUAUAGAUGGAAAAAUCUGGCUGUUGCUUCAUUGGAGGUACAAACUUCAGAGCCCUGGAGAGAUGGGAAUGCAGAUUACCUGGAGGCAGAUUAAAAGGGAAGCUUAUUAAGAUAAAUUGUCAGGGGUCUCAUCUAUUUGCAGCAGUGUGCCUUCCAACACUUGUUACUUUUCUGCUUUAGAAGUGAUGAGUUUGCACAGAUUCUCUGGACUUCUGUGGAAGCCACAAGGCAUGUGGAGAUGCUUUAGUAAAACAGCAGACUCGAGCAAUGCCCAUGUUUGCAGAGUGAUUAAGUAGCAGAGUUGGGUCUGCCAGUUCAUGGUCCCCAGCCGUGCAUUGAAGCAUGAAGGGAAGUCAACAUGUGGAUGAUGGAGCAGAAAGCACUUAGCUGGCUCUUAUGUGGGACCUUCUCCUUUUGAACAGAUCUUGCCCUUACAGACAUGCACGUGGUUCCUGUCAAGUCCCUCCACAGGGUUGAAUUUGACUGAAUUUCCUAUAGUAUAUUACUGGGGGAGGAACACGUACCUCACAGCUACCAAUUCUCUCUGGCAAACAGUAGCACGGGCUUUCCACAAACCAUUUAAUGGUUUGUUUCAUCACAGAAGCUGUCCUGUGCUGGCACUGUCUAUCCUAGCUGGAUCUGCAGGUGCCACUAUGAAGAGUUAUGAGUGCCACACUCUCUAACAUGUUUUUCCCAAACAGGUAGUAUAAGGUCCUAUUUUCUUUGAUAUGGAAUACUCUUGGGGGAAAACUCAGAUUACAACAGUCAAACAGCUCUUUGGCAGCCAGGUUAUUUCUCAGCCUCUGCUGCUGGUUUCUCUGCAAUGGUACUCUUGUAAUCGCUAUCUUGCAGUAAGAACAUUUUUGGAUCAGUGUCCCUAUCUCCCCCAAAGCUCAGGAAGAGCUGCCUAACCCUGUCCUCUAAGCCACAGAGAAGCUAUUUGCAAAUACAUCAUGAAGGAGCCAAAUUUGCAGUGGUUAUAAAUCUGAGCUUUUACUGAGCUUUUAUUUAUGCCAGCUAGUCUACAGUGUCUCAGUACUUUACACUGAGGAUGAGGGUAAUUAUCUUUAAGCUAACCCACUUUCUAAGUGGGCACUGUUCUCUUUCAGUGCUGCACUGUGGCCUCCUCAUGACCAGGAAUCAGUGCUUUCUCUGCAGUAGUCUUCUCACAGAAGGGAAUUGAGUGCAUUUAAUAAGCUAAUGUGUUCUGAAGUGGGGUUUGUGUUAAAGAUCCAAUACCUGAUCACAGACUGAUCUUAUAAAUAUUUACUAUUUUAUAGCCUGGAGCACUCUUAUGCAUUUAAACAUUGACAGUGAAGAGCAAGCACACUUAUAAGAAUGUGUGUGGUACCAGCCUUGUGCUAGAGCUGAUGUCAUGAGGCCAGGAAAGUUCUCUGCCCUGUCUCUUGGGGGCAAGAAGAAGAGGCUGGAGGCCAUUGGCACUGACACCACACACUGUGCCCAGGCAAACAUUUGGGUUGGAAAUGUCUGUAUGUGCUGGCCACAUGGGAAGGAGGUGUAUUUUUAGGGUGCAACUAAAGGGCAAAGAGGCUGAGCUUAGAGCUCUCCUGUGCCCCAGCUUAGUGGCUCUACUGUUGCAUGGCAGAGCAGCACUGGGCAGGAUACGCAGAAGUGUUUCUCCAGCCAAACAGAAAUCUAUCACAGCACAGCCCAUACUGCAGCUGAAUGAAAGUAACUCACCAGGGCAGGGAAAACUCAGCUAAAGGGCUACUGACAAAGAUGUGUCAGGCAAUUAGUGAUCCUUGCAGAAUGUCCUUUACCUGCUCAGAUAGAAGAAGGAGCUGACAGUAAGAAUGCUGUUAAGAAAUUAAAUGUGUCCAGUUCUCAUUGCAGAAGCAUUUAUUAUCAGUCUGUGAUGUUCUGUUAGCUCAAGGCAUCCAGAUAAGGAUGAGGGCACAAAACAGGCUAGGAGAGCUGGGCCUCAACCCAUCAAUCAUUCAAAACCAUUAUGUAUGUGCAAUUGGAAUUUAUUUGAGUCUCUUGAGAAAAAAAAAACAAACCUCUGCAUGCAAAUCAUAAGGUGGUUUAGACACUGUUUCAGUGUCUUUCAUUGCACAGGGGUUUCGUUAUGGCAAGGGUUUCUGUAGUAGCAAAGGAUGGGAUACUGUGCUCUGGUUUUCCUCAAAGGCCUGAGGACCUGUCUUGUGAACUUCAGAGAAACAGGAAUGGCUGAACACUAAGUAAAUCAGAGGACAGCAGAAAACCCAGGAAGGAGGAAAGCAGAAUUUUCCCAGUUCCUGGAGGAUUAAGAGACCUGCACAUCAUCACGUAGGAAGUCAACAGCAAAGUGGGAACCAAACAAAUUCACUAGUAGUGAUUCAGACUAGAGGCUGGCCCAGCCCAUAUAAAACUGCAUCAUCCUUCUGACUGGAUAAAUUCCAGUGAGAGAGCCACCUGCCAGCAGAAAAUGUGGUCAUCAUAACUGGAACACUGUUUGAAACAAGGAGAAAAAAAGACAUUCUGGACAUUCUGAAAUUUCCUGGUUUGGGCAUUUCCAAAAAGAAGUGCUUCUAGAUGUUGUUUGGAAAAGUAUCUUUGGCUGUAUUUGUGUGCAAAGGUGAUGAUCUUAUACACUAUUACAUGGAACAGAAGGAGUCAAAUCAAAGACAAAGGAAGACAAACACUUAAGGCUGAGACUGCCUCAUGAACAAUCAACCACAUAAGAUAGCUAGGAGUUUUUUUUCUGUUUUCAGAUAAAUCCAAAAAGUUUUUGUAAAUUUUUCCUUCCAUUUUUCACUUUUCUGAAUCCAAAUUAAAGCUAGUUGUGAAACAAAA